AUUCCAGCUCCAAUAGCGUAUAUUAAAGUUGCUGCAGUUAAAAAGCUCGUAGUUGGAUUUGUGGCGCGGCCGUCCGGCGGGGCUCCUUCAUUGGGGCCGUUUGUCUGGUUUUUCGGCCGCCCCAUUCUCGGGUAGUGUGUCGCUGGCAUUAGGUUGUCGGCUUCUUCACGCCCGUCGUUUACUGUGAAAAAAUUAGAGUGUUCAAAGCAGGCUUAGGCCGUUGGAUACAUUAGCAUGGAAUAAUGAGAUAGGGCCACGACGGUCUAUUUUGUUGGUUUGCACGUUGUGGUAAUGAUUAACAGGAACGGUUGGGGGUAUUCGUACUCAAUUGUCAGAGGUGAAAUUCUUGGAUUUAUGGAAGACGAACUACUGCGAAAGCAUUUACCAAGGAUGUUUUCAUUA
rnacentral:rRNA from 1 species